CCUACGGGAGGCAGCAGUGGGGAAUUUUGGACAAUGGGCGCAAGCCUGAUCCAGCAAUGCCGCGUGAGUGAAGAAGGCCUUCGGGUUGUAAAGCUCUUUUGUCAGGGAAGAAACGGAUGGGGCUAAUAUCCCUGUCUAAUGACGGUACCUGAAGAAUAAGCACCGGCUAACUACGUGCCAGCAGCCGCGGUAAUACGUAGGGUGCAAGCGUUAAUCGGAAUUACUGGGCGUAAAGCGUGCGCAGGCGGUUUUGUAAGUCUGUCGUGAAAUCCCCGGGCUCAACCUGGGAAUUGCGAUGGAGACUGCAAGGCUAGAAUCUGGCAGAGGGGGGUAGAAUUCCACGUGUAGCAGUGAAAUGCGUAGAGAUGUGGAGGAACACCGAUGGCGAAGGCAGCCCCCUGGGUCAAGAUUGACGCUCAUGCACGAAAGCGUGGGGAGCAAACAGGAUUAGAUACCCUGGUAGUCCACGCCCUAAACGAUGUCUACUAGUUGUCGGGUCUUAAUUGACUUGGUAACGCAGCUAACGCGUGAAGUAGACCGCCUGGGGAGUACGGUCGCAAGNUUAAAACUUAAGGAAUUGACCGGNUGAGAGNGCGAGACGACGACGAGGAGAGG
rnacentral:rRNA from 1 species